UCCGUUGUAGUCUAGCUGGUCAGGAUAUUCAGCUUUCAUCCGAGAGACCCGGGUGCGAGUUCCGGCAACGGAG
rfam:Brassica napus, WGS project CCCW01000000 data, contig: 7024